GAUCAUGGCUCAGGAUGAACGCUGGCGGCGUGUUAACACAUGCAAGUCGAGCGAGAAGCUCAUGACAGAUACUCGGUUGAUGGAUUGAGUGGAAAGCGGCGGACGGGUGAGUAACGCGUAGGCAACCUGCCCCCGUGCAGAGGGAUAGCCUCGGGAAACCGGGAUUAAAACCUCAUAAUGCGUGACUGAGACAUCUCAGACACGCCAAAGAUUUAUCGGCACGGGAUGGGCCUGCGUCUGAUUAGUUAGUUGGUGGGGUAACGGCCUACCAAGGCGACGAUCAGUAGCCGACCUGAGAGGGUGAUCGGCCACAUUGGAACUGAGACACGGUCCAAACUCCUACGGGAGGCAGCAGUGGAGAAUCUUGCACAAUGGGCGAAAGCCUGAAUGCAGCAACGCCGCGUGAAGGAUGAAGGCCCUUGGGUCGUAAACUUCUGUUCUAAGGGAAGAUAAUGACGGUACCUUAGGAGCAAGUCCCGGCUAACUACGUGCCAGCAGCAGC
rnacentral:rRNA from 1 species